GCGGGUAUAGUUCAGAGGUAGAACCCCAGCCUUCCAAGCUGGUUGCGCGGGUUCGAUUCCCGCUACCCGCUCCA
rnacentral:tRNA from 6 species